GACGAACGCUGGCGGCGUGCCUAAUACAUGCAAGUCGAACGAGAGCGACCGGUGCUUGCACUGGUCAAUCUAGUGGCGAACGGGUGAGUAACACGUGGGUAACCUGCCCAUCAGAGGGGGAUAACAUCCGGAAACGGAUGCUAAAACCGCAUAGGUCUUCGAGCCGCAUGGCUUGAAGAGGAAAAGAGGCGCAAGCUUCUGCUGAUGGAUGGACCCGCGGUGCAUUAGCUAGUUGGUGAGGUAACGGCUCACCAAGGCCGUGAUGCAUAGCCGACCUGAGAGGGUGAUCGGCCACAUGGGGACUGAGACACGGCCCAAACUCCUACGGGAGGCAGCAGUAGGGAAUCUUCCGCAAUGGACGCAAGUCUGACGGAGCAACGCCGCGUGAGUGAAGAAGGUUUUCGGAUCGUAAAACUCUGUUGUUAGAGAAGAACAAGUGCUAGAGUAACUGUUAGCGCCUUGACGGUAUCUAACCAGAAAGCCACGGCUAACUACGUG
rnacentral:rRNA from 1 species